GAGUUUGAUCUUGGCUCAGAUUGAACGCUGGCGGCAUGCCUUACACAUGCAAGUCGAACGGCAGCACGGGAGCUUGCUCCUGGUGGCGAGUGGCGAACGGGUGAGUAAUGCAUCGGAACGUAUCCUGGAGUGGGGGAUAACGUAGCGAAAGUUACGCUAAUACCGCAUAUUCUGUGAGCAGGAAAGCGGGGGACCUUCGGGCCUCGCGCUCUUGGAGCGGCCGAUGUCGGAUUAGCUAGUUGGUGAGGUAAAGGCUCACCAAGGCGACGAUCCGUAGCAGGUCUGAGAGGAUGAUCUGCCACACUGGAACUGAGACACGGUCCAGGCUCCUACGGGAGGCAGCAGUGGGAAUUUUGGACAAUGGGGGCAACCCUGAUCCAGCCAUGCCGCGUGAGUG
rnacentral:rRNA from 1 species